CAAAUACUCCCUCCGUCCGGAAAUACUUGUCAUCAAAAUGGAUAAAAGGAAAUGUAUCUAGCCGUAUUUUAGUUUUAGAUACAUCUCUUUUUAUCCAUUUUGAUGACAAGUAUUUUCAGACGGAGGGAGUAGAAA
rfam:Triticum urartu cultivar G1812 contig215338, whole genome shotgun sequence.